rnacentral:rRNA from 1 species
UACAGAGGGGGCAAGCGUUGUUCGGAAUUACUGGGCGUAAAGGGCGCGUAGGCGGCCUUCUAAGUCGAACGUGAAAUCCCCGGGCUCAACCCGGGAACUGCGUCCGAUACUGGAAGGCUUGAAUCCGGGAGAGGGAUGUGGAAUUCCAGGUGUAGCGGUGAAAUGCGUAGAUAUCUGGAGGAACACCGGUGGCGAAGGCGGCAUCCUGGACCACGACUGACGCUGAGUGAGCGAAAGCCAGGGGAGCAAACGGG